rnacentral:snoRNA from 1 species
GGUGCGAUGAGGAUUGCAGCCAAACAUUUCUGACACCUCUUGUGCGAGAGCGCCCCGCAAGGGACCGCCCACUGAACGUACUAUGCUGAAACGACUGAGCACC